rnacentral:rRNA from 1 species
GCCAGCAGCCGUACCACCUGCUGGUCAGACUAGGUAAUGCACCAGAAGCUAAGCAGGUUUGAGCCUGGCCAGUACUUAGACAGCAGUGCAGCUAGGAAAGCUGGGUUGCUGCUGGAA